rnacentral:rRNA from 1 species
AAUGAACGCUGGCGGCUUGCCUAAUACAUGCAAGUCGAGCGAAGCGGGGACGGUUGAGGAACACGUGGAUAACCUCAUUUAAGAAUAGGAUAACUUAGGGAAACCGGAGCUAAAAAGGCUACUUAUAGAUGGAUCCGCGGUGCAUUAGCUAGUUGGUAAGGUAACGGCUUACCAAGGCCACGAUGCAUAGCCGACCUGAUAGGUUGAUCGGCCACAGUGGAACUGAGCCACGGUCCAGACUCCUACGGGAGGCAGCAGUAGGGAAGAUUCCGCAAUGGGCGAAAGCCUGACGGAGCAACGCCGCGUGAGUGAAGAAGGUCUUCGGAUCGUAAAACUCUGUUAUUAGGGAAGCGGUAUCUAAUCAGAAAGCCACGGCUAACUACGUGCCAGCAGCCGCGGUAAUAC